UGUACAUGACGUCGGCCAGCACGCGACAGCCGAGCCGACUCAAUCAUUUGAAGUUGAACCUUGUUGUGUUGUGGCCAGUGAACACGGCUGACUGGUCUGAGGGUGACGGAUAUACGAAGACUGGCAAAUAAAUACUCAAGAUGUCAGAUUUGGCGUCCCCAAGGUCGCCUGGAUCUGGCGACUUUCCCCAUGACGAAUUUGACUACGAUGACGACAACGAUGCAGAUUUUGAAGACUCCCGAGAUUAUGACGACAGAGAGAGUGACGACGGUAUGGGACCGUUUAUCCGGCAUCUCGGUAUCCGGAACGGUCCAAAAACCAGCUAUAUUCUGGAACAUAUUCCCGGGCCAAGCAGGGAUAUUUCCAACCGUUCCCCACCUGCGAGCUAUACUGACUUGGGAAGUGAAGGAGAAACAAGAGGGAAAGAAGAAUAUGCUGGUAUUAAGGAACAGAUGUACCAGGACAAGCUCGCUCAACUAAAAAAACAACUGCAGCAGUUGCGUGACAGCAGUCAUCCAGAAUACAACAAGAAACUAAAGAAGAUUGAUGCAGCUUACAAAGAAAGACUAAGACUCAAUGAUUUAUGGCGUGAAAUCGAGACGGAAUGGGUGGAACGUGACUAUUUGGCUGAGAAGAGAUUGGCCGCUCGAGAAUUCGAAGAAAAGAAGAGAGAACUUAAAGAAAAUUUGUUGAUAGAACUUGAAGAGAAAAAGAAGAUCAUAGAGCAGGAAAGAUACACACUUGAGCUUACCGGGGAUUCAAUGGAGUAUAAACCAGUCUCAACUCGAAAGUUACGUCGACGAGGAAAUGAACCUGCACCAAUUAUAGAGAAACGCCGCAAGCCAGUGUCAACAACUCUGCAGCUCUUGCUUGAUGAAAGGGAGAUGGAUGAUGAUUUAAAACUCAUCAACAAGAGCAAGCUGAUGAAUAUGAAAAAAAGUUUCAUAAAGGGCAGGCAGUAAUGAUUGAAUGUAAGGAUGGUACACGGUUUAAUGCUGUCCUCACUGUCGCAGGAGCUGACGUGAUUAUGGUAAGAAAAGUACCUGAUAACAUACGUCUAAAGAUCACCCUUGCUCAACUGGCUCAUGGUAAAUAUCUCGUCCGACGCCGCAGUUCAGCGUGACCAAGGGACAAGAAACUCUUUUAUGCUCUUGAAAACCAAAUUAAUGUCAGUCCCCACCAUAUUAAGAAAAUGCUUUUUUGUAAUUUGCCAUAAAGUGAUUGUGUUGCUCACAGACACUUUCUCCAGGUGUUCUACUAACAAUUGUACUAUACAAUAAAAUUUUGAUGUUAAAAAAUA
rnacentral:misc_RNA from 1 species